rnacentral:lncRNA from 1 species
GGCGUCAUUCUGACUCGAAGCUCAGGGAAGUACACAUUAAAGUUGGUGCAAAACGUCGCUUUUAUGAAACGUUUUCGAAAUAAAAUCGUUAUGCUAUGCAGAGGGAAAGGUCAGUAUUAAAUUUAGCUACUUUUUAAACGUUUUUGAGUUGUUCUUGUUAAGUUAUUGCUGUCUUUUAAAACACGUGUCUACAUUCAUUGUAGUACUAUUGAAUUUGAGUCCCAUUCAAGCGCUUCGUUUCAGCGCUCAGUCGCUUUAUUUUUUCAGUGUCCCUCCCUAAUUUCCUAGCAGUAAUGUUCAGAAAUACCCCAGCUUUGAUUCAUUUAACUCAUAUUUAGUUUAUCUGCAAUUUCAGGGCGAAAAUUUGAAGAGAAAGUGAACUAAUUUAAGUCGCCGACAUGGUCGAAAUGCCGAAGCACUUGGUAAGCAUAAUGUCCAUUAAAGGCGUUUCCUUCUUGUUUGUUUCUCGUUUUCAACUGAGCUUCCCCAAUACACCUAGAAGUCUUCUAGCAUUGCUUUGUGGCCUUACGAACACUCUGAGUAAAGUUUAGUUACAAUAUUGGAGUUCGUAUUUUAGGCAUGUUCAAUUUCACAUGCAGGCGUGCAUGGCAUAUCAUGCAUGUUCGAACAUUUUAGCUUUUACAAACUUGUCGUUUAUGUACAAAUUGUUCUCUGAGAGGGAAGCUAAGCUUUUCGAGUUACUUGAGGUUGUCAAAGUUGUAUUUCAUCCAAUAUUUUUACGAAAUUUAGAGAAGAAACGUCCUCGUGGUUCUUGCCCUAAUUUCAUGCAUAUUAAAUGCACGCAUUCUUUAAAAUUAAAAUAAAUUGAGUUGGACAACCGCACCCUGUGUAAAUACAUUAAAUAGCUCUUAGCUGUUUUGAAACUAACAUGAAUUGUUCAAUUUUUUAGACUGCCUCAAAGUCGAUCAUUUCGAUGGCAAACAGUACAGAAAGACCUCUGCACAGAUUUGAAGAGACGCUCGCCUUACAGUCGAAGCAAAAUAAGAAAGACGAGAAGGCAAAGCACAAAUGGGACCAGCCACCAGCUCCGAUUCCUUUGCGAACUCACAGCAUUCAUCGUCAGAUUUCGUCUACAGUGCAAAGUUUGGAAGAGAUGCCACUCAUCCAGAGACAGUAAGGAAAGCAUAUGAUAACAUACUCGGACUGUCUCUGCCGUACCAUCCAGAGACCCUAACCAAUACGCCAUACCAUCGUGAAAGAUGUAAAUUACAGAAGGUAUAUUUCCCUCGUGAUUCUCGUUGCUCAUGUUCGAAAGUACGUAGGGGGACCACCCUGAAGACGCCCAAAUGCACAAAACAAAUUGAAAUAUGGCACAUUUUCCUUAAUUUCGCAAUUUAUUCAAAUUUUCUACAUUUCUUGGUAUUUGUGAAAAGCUCUUUUAACGAAAUCGAAAUGUUUGAAAUUCGGAAGUUUCUAUCUGGGAGUUUGUUUAUUUGAAAGAUAUUUGAAAUGAAAUUUUGAAGUUUACAUCACUUUGAUAUUUGGGUUAAACGCUAGGUAAAAUCAUGCCAGAUGAGUGGUCGAUCAUUCGUCGAAGUUCGGUGAUACUUCGGCUCGGUCUUUCCCGACCUACAGUUGAGUUGCUCUGAUUGAUUGUCGUGAUCAACUAGCGCAAAUGUAAGGUCUGGCCAACCUUGCGUUUGUGCUUUUUGUUCGUGGCAUGAGAUUGGGACAGCUCGCCCGUAGGCCUGGAAAGAUCAAGCGGAAGUACCACCAAACUUUGAUUUGUGGCCGGCUUUUUGUCUGUAUGGCUUUAUCCAGCGUUUUCCCGUUAUCAGUUUGAUGUAGACUUUGUGAUUUUAGCUUGAAUAUCUUUAAUAUAAACAUUCUUUGAGGUUUAAUCUUUCAAGAAUUUCAUGGGUUUUGACUAGUUAAUGCGUUUUUCGUAGAUACUAUAAUUGUAUUAAGAAUACUGACCAAAAAAAAUAAAACUGACUAAAACGUCAUUUGAGGUGUGGGAUGGGAGGUCCAGUGGGAGUCGUAGCGGAUACCAAUGGAUAAAUACGGAUUAUUGUGACACUGUGUACUAUUGGAGAUAUUUGAUUGGAUUGCAACGAACACUUAUGGAUUAUUAUGAACAUUGUGUAUAAAAUGUACCUCGCGAUCGACGGUUACCUACUAAUGUAUCUUGACAACGAAAGCUGCACGGCGGCAACGAGAUGACUGCCUCAAGGUUAGAGGGUUUAGUCUGAUAACAAGCAGUUAUUAACUUGUUAUCAGGCAGUAGUUAGCCUGCUAUCAGGCAGUAGUUAGCCUGCUAACAGGCAGUAUAUCUGUAGGAUUCAUACCCAAGACUCUAAUUUGCAUGUGGUCGGCGAAAUCUCUGGGUAAACCGGUUUAAAAUUCCUGGCGGUCUGUGGUUAGUAGUACAUUUGCACGCAAGGUUGAUUUUUAUUGGGAUGUUUGCAUGCUAAUAAAAAAUGAGAUAUUGAAUGACCUCAGUUAAUCAGAAUUUCGACAUCAUCUGCAAUCGAAAGUCAAUCUUAAGAGGUUAACAUUUGAGCUUCCGGUCACGUGGUUCUUUGCAUGCACUCGGUUCGGUUAUUGGUGGGUUUCAUUAAGUGUUACAAUCCAGGCAAUGGAGAAUUUAUUUUCUUCAAAUACUUGCUGGAGCGAUUUCUUUGCCUUCAAAUACAAGACUACUACAUAAAGUAAAAAAGAGUGGACAUUAUUUUUUCACUCUGGUAACUCGUAGUGAGACCCACUAGCUUUUUGCGGUCUGUUCGUGCCAAUGUUGUUCUCUUUGUGUAAAUGUACUGCUUAGGCGUCUGUGCAUGGAUGAACGCAGCGCGCAGCUAGUAUCCAGAAUAUACUGUAGGCAGAUAAGUAAAACUUUGACAGACUUUAAAAUCUUGUUUAUAUCGAUGUGUUACGUUCAUAAAUGUAUAGAAAUAUCAUGAAAUGUGUUGGGCUUUGGCUUGGGGUUAAAUCUAACCCUAUAACCUUAACCUUAAUCCAUUACAUGAUCUGUAUAUUUGUGUACGUAAUAUAUGGGUGUAGCCAAAAUUUUGUUGAAAAGCUGGCAUAGUUUUCCUUGGGCAGGAUAACUAAACUGGGUGCAAAUGGUAUCCAUAGCUUAGAGGGUGCAAAUGGUACCCGUAAGAAGAUUGGUGGAUACUUCUGGACAAGAUUUUUUCAAAGAUGUGGAUAGCCUCCGGGUACUCCGGUCUCCACCUACAGAAAGAUCAGCUUAGGACUGUAAUGACAUAGUUAUUGUAAUGAUAAACAGUCUAUAGGCUUUAGUGAAUAAUAAAGGAAAGGUGUAUCAUCUUUCAUCGCCCGUAGUGCAUGUAUAUCGCUGGUUUCGAACGUUAGUUUUCUGCCCCGUGUACUAUGAAAACAGUUCGCUACCAGAGAUUAGGGUCCCCACUCUGUUAUGGCGGUUCGACGAUGGAAGACAUUAGCAUAAGGCAUGCAAACCUUACCCCUGUUUGUGGAAGCUCACCAGGUGCGAUCGGCACACUAGGUUAAGUUAAUUAAGCUAGGGGCAUGACCGAGACUCCACAUUCGGGGGUUUCCCUUGCAGGUUUUUGAAAGGUUAUAUGCGCGCGCGCACUAGUUAGGAAGGUUAGGCAGCUAGAAAUAGGGCGCUUUGCACGCGUACUAUAAGGCAUGUAUACAAUAAUUCAUUAUCAUUGGCAUACUUUUGCGCCAGUUACAUUCUGAGAAGUAUUUAACACAACAGGAAAAUGGAAUCUGUUUCCUGUUGAAAAGUACUUACAGAACCAAUUCAAAGUGGAAAAAACGAAAAUAUUGCAAAAAGAGGAAAAUAAAAAAUAAAACCGAAAAGCCACUUUGAAUAUAAGCAACAAUAGUCCAAGAAUACUCGUAGCAGAAAAAAAAACAACAAAAAAGAAACACUUUUUCUGCCUAAAAUAUCUUGGACUAGGGGCUUAACGAUAAGAAACGUAGUUCUCGCUCCAAAGUGGAGAAUAGGCUCGUUUCUUUAGGUUGCUAAUGCAUUGCGCGCGCGCUUUAUAAAUUAUACUAUAAGUUUUCAGUUGGAAAGACCGCCAGGAAAAUAGGGUGUUUUCACGUGUUGCUUUGUUGACGGAC